GGACAGAGGGUGCAAACGUUGCUCGGGAAUCACUGGGCGUAAAGGGCGUGUAGGCGGGACAGUAAGUCGGGCGUGAAAUCCCUGGGCUCAACCCAGGAACUGCACUCGAAACUACUAUUCUUGAGUGUCGGAGAGGAAAGCGGAAUUCCUGGUGUAGAGGUGAAAUUCGAUAGAUAUCAGGCGGAACACCGGUGGCGAAGGCGGCCUUCUGGACAGUGACGUGAACGGCUGAGACGGCGAAA
rnacentral:rRNA from 1 species